UGUAAUAUCCAUCACAAGAGGCAUUAGCGGUAACAGCAGGUCCCGCACUAGUGCCAGAAAAGGAGGAAGAAUUUUUGACAUACUCGUUGAAAAAACUAUGGAGACUGUCAACAAUCCUAUCAAUAUGCUGCUGAGCAUCACUACUGUAAAGUUUAGUAUAACAGUACUCGAUGAACUUGAUCUUGUACAGUGGAUCCAAUAUUGCAGCACAUGACAACAUCAGGCUACAUGCUGACCAAUAUUCAGUAAAUUUCAAUAGCAUUUCAUUGACCAUAUAUGUCAUGAAAUUUUCUGGGCCUGUCACUACUUCCAACAAGUGCCUAUGAAUCUUCCACACCCCCUUGAAAUACAAAUUAGCAGUCAGAUACCUAUUUCCUGAAAACAUGUGCGCUACCACGUAAAAGACCUUCAAAAAUUUGCACAAGCUACUAACUUUUUCCUACUCAUAUUCUGAUAGUGUGUAUGCAAAAUUUCUAUCCUGUUCUCCCAAGCAAAGAAAUGCCCUCUUAUACUGAAAAGCAAUUUCAAGCAUGUGAUAUACAGAAUCCCACCUAGCAGGAUAAUCUAGGCACAACUUUUCCCUAGCAUCCAAAUUCAAAAUUUUAGCAAUGAUAUAAAAGUUUUUCUUCCUAUGUGGUGACUGUUUCACAUACUUGAUACCAAGACACAGUUUUGCAAUGAUUUCUCUGAUAAGAUCCAAACCAGCUUCUACAAUUGAAUUCAUAAUUUGAGCAAAACAGCGCACAUUAAAGAACAUACCAUUACAGGGAAUAUACUUCUUUGCAUCAAGACGUGAUUUAAGUAUGGAAGCCACACAAUUAUCAACUGACAAGCUGUCCAAUGUGAUGCUAAAAACUUUGUGUUCAAUAUUCCAUUGGACCAUGCACGAAGUUAUCUGAUCUCCAAUAGACAAACUAUCAUAUGGGGGUGGUAUAAGUUUGAAUUGCAAAAUCUUCUUUGCAACUUCCACUCAUGGUCCGUGAAGUAUGCAGUGACACAAUUAUAAUGAUCAUCAGUAUUGGAUUUCCACCUACAAGAUGUUAAGCAAAUUCGACCAGGGCAUUUUGCCAACAAUGCACAAACAUUUUCCUUUUCUUUGACAUAUAUGGACAUUAUAUCCUUUUUAAUAUUUCUCACAUUCAUCACUGGUAAGUCAGGGAGUGCAACAGCCAUUACAUGUCUAAAACCUACAUUUUCAACCAUCCUCAAUGUUUUCCAUCAAGGACAACCAUCAUUGCGAGUGCUCUAUGAAUCUCACCCAAAUCAAAUUUAUGAUUCUUUAAGGAUUUAGUCCUAGCUGGCAAAGUCACAGGAGAAAAUGCAUGUUCUUUUAUGUCAUGGUUAUCUCUUUUAACGCAUGCUUUCAUGUGCCGUUUUAAAUGAGAAGUACCACCUUUAGCUGUUAAAGCUUUCUUACAGAACUUACAUAUG
rnacentral:misc_RNA from 1 species